CGUAAGCGUGCGUAGGUGGCUGAACAAGUCCGUUGGGAAAUCUGUCCGCUUAACGGGCAGGCGUCCAGCGGAAACUGUUCAGCUUGGGACCGGAAGACCUGAGGGGUACGUCUGGGGUAGGAGUGAAAUCCUGUAAUCCUGGACGGACCGCCGGUGGCGAAAGCGCCUCAGGAGAACGGAUCCGACAGUGAGGGACGAAAGCUAGGGUCUCGAACCGGAUUAAAUACCCGGGUAGUCCUAGCUGUAAACGAUGUCCGCUAGGUGUGGCGCAGGCUACCAGCCUGCGCUGUGCCGUAGGGAAGCCGAGAAGCGGACCGCCUGGGAAGUACCUCUGCAAGGAUGAAACUCAAAGGAAUUGACGG
rnacentral:rRNA from 1 species